AACGUUGAUUCUACUUAAAGCCACAUGAGGGCGGUGUAUAGGCAGUGCAGUCAUUCCAGAUGGCCUCAUUGCUUCAUUCUUGGCCUGCCAAACAGACGUUAUCGACAGAGCAAUCCAGCUGAUGAUAGAUCCUCAUUCAGCUGCCCUCCUGCAUGGAUGAAUUCGGGAGAACUGUAAAUGAGGACUGGCAUAUGGCAUUUUCAUUGUAGCUGUUUGAAAGUUCAGUGACAUUAUUAAGCAUACACUCACCCUUCAUUCCUGGUGACAUGAUGGACUGAAGAGGACAUUACAACAUUUCUGAAACAGACUGCUGAAUCUCGGUUCCCCUGGUAACCUGCAACGUGAGGCAAUCCAACUGGUGAGAGCGGCAUGCUUAUUGACAAAUUCUUCCUAUACCAAUUGAGCAAAUAAUCUGAUGACGAUGAGAGAGACUGCAGGUGGAGCGGCAGGAAAGUCUGAGGCGGAAGCUCUGGCACAGUCUUGCUUUAUACAUAAAGCCUCUGUGUUGCUUAAUAUUCUCCGCACCUCUGUCCUUCUGGCUCUGGGACUCUGGCUUUAUCUUAUUUGAGGAUCUUAUAUUCUUCAAUACAGUCUUCCGGUUGCUUAAAUUCUCAAGCAUUUUUUGACAGUGCAGGGAUUUGCCUGAGCAAAACUCAGCUGACAGAGCAGGAACAAUGAAGACUGCAUCUCCUUCUGGUGCAGAUAUUGCACGAGUGAUGCACCGCUUUGACCUCGGGGCUUGGCAUGAAUGCGCUUCUCGCUUGUUUGUUUGAACAAAAGCGGUAAUAUGCGUCAGAUAAGUUCGCCUAGUGUCUUUUUGUAGUCUUUGAAGUGAAGCUGUGAGUCCAGAGUCCUCAGAUGCCUUAUCAAAUAAUGAAAGUGCUGGGGUUAUAACAUAUUCAGGUUGUUUGGUGAACACGCAACAGAUACUGGUUGUAAACAGCAGAGGGCAGUGUUCUCUUUGCUUCGCGGAGAGCUCUGUUCAUCCAUUGUGUAGUGGAGUCAGGUGCAGGCUGUUUGAUUGUAGGUUUGAUUCAGGUUUGUGAAAAUGUUUCAGACAUUCCAGGCAUUAUCAGAAGCAAUCAUGCUUUGUUUAGCACAUGUUUGUUG